AUUGAACGCUGGCGGCAUGCUUUACACAUGCAAGUCGAACGGUAACAGGGCCUUCGGGUGCUGACGAGUGGCGAACGGGUGAGUAAUGCAUCGGAACGUGCCCAAUCGUGGGGGAUAACGUAGCGAAAGUUACGCUAAUACCGCAUAAGCCCUGAGGGGGAAAGCAGGGGGAUCGCAAGACCUUUGCGCGAAUGGAGCGGCCGAUGUCAGAUUAGCUAGUUGGUGGGGGUAAAGGCCUACCAAGGCGACGAUCUGUAGCGGGGUCUGAGAGGAUGAUCCGCCACACUGGGACUGAGACACGGCUUAGACUCCUACGGGAGGCAGCAGUGGGGAAUUUUGGACAAUGGGCGCAAGCCUGAU
rnacentral:rRNA from 1 species